GACAGAGGCGAUAUCUCGCUGAACACACCAGUUCCCGGUGGAUCACUGAAGUUAAGCGACGUUGGGUUUGGUAUUCGAAUGGAUGACCAUCUGAGCAAUCGCGUGCUGCCGGCU
rnacentral:rRNA from 1 species